rnacentral:rRNA from 1 species
UCAGAAUCAACGCUGGCGGCGUGCCUAACACAUGCAAGUCGAACGAGAAAGUGGUAGCAAUACCAUGAGUAAAGUGGCGCACGGGUGAGUAACACGUGACUAACCUACCCUGGAGUGGGGGAUAACUGAGGGAAACCUUAGCUAACACCGCAUAAUACCUACGGGUCAAAGGAGUAAUUCGCUUUGGGAGGGGGUCGCGGCCGAUUAGUUUGUUGGCGGGGUAAUGGCCCACCAAGACUAUGAUCGGUAUCCGGCCUGAGAGGGCGCACGGACACACUGGAACUGAAACACGGUCCAGACUCCUACGGGAGGCAGCAGUGGGGAAUUUUGCGCAAAUGGGGGAAACCCUGACGCAGCAACGCCGCGUGGAGGAUGAAGUACUUCGGUACGUAAACUCCUUUCGACCGGGACGAUAAUGACGGUACCGGGAGAAGAAGCCCCGGCUAACUUCGUGCCAGCCGCAGC